rnacentral:rRNA from 1 species
UACGCAGGGGGCUAGCGUUGUUCGGAAUUACUGGGCGUAAAGAGAGCGUAGGCGGCUCUAUAAGUUAGAUGAGAAAGCCCCGGGCUUAACCUGGGAACAGCAUUUAAUACUGUGGAGCUAGAGAGCGAUAGAGGAUGAUGGAAGUCCUAGUGUAGAAGUGAAAUUCGUAGAUAUUAGGAGGAACACCAGUGGCGAAGGCGGUCAUCUGGGUCGUUACUGACGCUAAGGCUCGAAAGCGUGGGGAGCAAACAGG